CACCAUAGUCCCAGCUUGUCUUCCAGAUUCUAACGGACCAAGAAAACCAUUAAGUGAUAUCAGUAAACAAGUCUUGUGGCUGACGUGUGUGAAGGGAAGUUGCUGCCAUGGGCGUUCAAGAUUAUGCAGACUCAAAUUUGAAGCCAUCUGUUGUUUUAACUGGAUCUGCAAAGGAAUCUAACGGACCAUCCAUUGGUCGUAUAGACAUUGGGGUCAGUCAUAGUGCCUUCCUUUUUCGAGUUGCAUUGCCAAGUAUCAGGAACGAUCACAGUAAGUGAAAUGUGAGAUGCAACGUGAUGGGAAAGUUCUUAUACAGGGCAUGAUAACACAGGGCAUUGGAGUGGUUCAGGAACUAUCGAGCAAAUGCGAGAUGAUAGUCGAGGAGUUUUGCUCUCCCGGGCCGUUCACGAUUUCCUUAAUCUGCCUGGACGGUUGAUCCCGAUUGUUUUCUCAAUUUCCGCCCUGACGGAAUUCUGGAAGUGGUGGUCCUGAGAAGCAGGGGAACAGGGAUGCCGGAGCUUCACCUUGUUGAGAUCCUUGUGGUGACAUUAAGCGUCAAAGUGUUUAGGAAAAUGGCCAAUCAAAACGAGGUAUAUUCAUAUAUUGGUCUAAAUGUAAAAAACAAAAUCCGAGAGACAGCAAUGCUGCAAAUAAACCAAACAUGUUUAAAGUUCGGUUUGAAGUUGUUGGUCGUAAAAAAAACAAUACCAAGAACCGAUUGGUUCAGUGGUAUGGCGUUACCGUCUCCUAUUCUCUUUUACAAUCUUGUACUUAUUGUCAGGUU